GGGUGAUUUAGGGUAACCAACCCAUUCCUAUAUACUUUGUAUUUGUUUGUUUAUUUUCCUAGUGCAAUUAGAUGAAUAAAUCAUUAUAGAUUUUCAUUGUUCAAAUGAUGUGCUUAUACUGUGCUCUUCUUUAUGCUUCUCUGAAGUAGGGGCGUCUCAUCCUCUGUCAGUAUAUGGUAGUAGAGGAAAAUAUCGGGGAACGAUGGAACUGGGCUGACAUAUGAAGUGAGAGGCAGAUGAGGCAACGAAAUGAGGGGAGUUGGGAGAGGUAUGUAGAUGGGCGAGGGAUUCUAAUUAAGGAGACAUACUUUGAAAGCCAAACUAGCACUUUGCAAAACUUGAAAAGACUCAUUCAGGUCUCUAUAGGAUCAUUGUUCACUGUAGCUCAGGGAAAGAGCCAAGCUGCAUAUGUAGUACAAAAGGCACUUAAUGCCUAGGACUUAACUGGAAUAAUAUUAAUACAAACACUACAUAGCAUUUUCUUUUAAAAUCCCACUUGGGGAUCCAACAAUACUCUCAUUUGCAGAUUUAAGUGUUCGUACAUGUUUACCCCUCUCCUCUCUUCUCCACAGUCAUCAACCAUACUCUUUCUUAGCCAGCUACGCUGCUUGUACUCUCCUUAGACAGAUUAGACGGAUACAAGAAACUAUGCUUCACAGGGAAUUUAAUUAUGACAAUGCCAAUUGUUGAGCUGAAUCUUGACUACACUUCCCAGAGUGCACCAGCAGAAAGCACUAAUUGUGGAGCACCUGUGUAGAGGUCCUCAUUCCCUUUUUAAACCGGCACAGCGGAGAAGAGACACAAGUUACUCUACGG
ensembl:lncRNA